GCGGGUAUAGUAUACCGGUAUUAUGCCACCUUGCCAUGGUGGAGAAACGGGUUCAAUUCCCGUUACCCGCUCCA
rnacentral:tRNA from 1 species